CAUGCAUGUCUAAGUAUAAAUUCUUGUACGAUGAAACUGCAGACGGCUCAUUACAACAGUGAUAAACUAAUAGACUUUCGGGUUUUACCUUUUGGAUAACCGCAGUAAAUCGGGGCUAAUACAUAGAAGCGAGGGGUGACUGAUUUAUCGGAAGCUCCGCGAUUAUUAGCAUUCAACCAAUACCCGCAAGGGUUCUGUUGGUGAAACCGAAUAAUAUUGCAGAUCGAAGAUUUAUCUUCGACAAGUCUACUGUGUCACUGCCCUAUCAACUUUCGAUGGUACGGUAUUGGCCUACCAUGGUUGUAACGGGUAACGGGGAAUUAGGGUUCGAUUCCGGAGAGGGAGCCUGAGAAAUGGCUACCACUUCUACGGAAGGCAGCAGGCGCGCAAAUUACUCAAUCCCAAUACGGGGAAGUAGUGACAAUAAAUAUCGAUGCCUAUCCAUUUUUGGAAGGGUAAUUGAAAUGAACACAAAUUAAAACUCUUAAUUAAUACAAUUGGAGGGCAAGUCUGGUGCCAGCAGCCGCGGUAAUUCCAGCUCCAAUAGCAUAUACUAAAGUUGUUGCAGUUAAAAAGCUCGUAGUUGAAGUUAAAGCUUUAUUUGGGUUAAAAAUCCAUUUGCCUUUUAACGGUUAAAUAGGAUUCCAGUAUUGCUUUUUUAAAGUUCAGUUGGUAUUGCCUUUGGUAGUACUUAUUUGGACAUUUCACUGUGAGAAAAUUGUGGUGUUUAAAGCAGGCGUCUCUGUCUGAUCUUUUGCAGCAUGGUAUGAUGGAACAUGACAUUUUGCGCAAUUGGUUGCGAUUAAAGUGUAAUGAUUAAUAGGGAUGGAUGGGGGUGUUCAUAUUGGUGGGCGAGAGGUGAAAUUCGUUGACCCUAUCAAGAUGAACUUCUGCGAAAGCAUUCACCAAAUACUUCCCCAUUAAUCAAGAACGAAAGUUUGGGGAUCGAAGACGAUCAGAUACCGUCGUAGUCCAAACUAUAAACUAUGUCGACCAGGGAUCGGUUAAAUCUUUUUAAAAGUUUAAUCGGCACCUUGUGAGAAAUCACGAGUGUUUAGAUUCCGGGGGGAGUAUGGUCGCAAGUCUGAAACUUAAAGGAAUUGACGGAAGGGCACACAAUGGAGUGGAGCCUGCGGCUUAAUUUGACUCAACUCGGGAAAACUUACCAAGCUAAGAUAUAGUAAGGAUUGACAGACUAAGAGAUCUUUCAUGAUUCUAUAAGUGGUGGUGCAUGGUCGUUCUUAGUUGGUGGAGCGAUUUGUCUGGUCAAUUCCGAUAACGGACGAGACCUCGACCUGCUAACUAGUAGUAUUUAUUGGCCGUUAUGGAUGAUAGCUAUUCGGGGUUUGGAAGGGUUUCGGCUCUCUCCGCUUCGUGUGGUGUGUAAUCUGGUCGGAUAGGUACGAAUUAAAACUUCUUAGAGGGACUACCUGCCUCAAGCAGGCGGAAGUCCGAGGCAAUAACAGGUCUGUGAUGCCCUUAGAUACCUUGGGCCGCACGCGCGCUACAAUGUAGAAAGCAAAAAGGUUCCUGGUCCGGAAGGAUUGGGUAAUCAAUUGAAUUUUCUACGUAACUGGGAUUGAUCUUUGUAAUUAUUGAUCAUCAACGAGGAAUUCCUUGUAAGCGUAAGUCAUUACCUUAUGCUGAAUAUGUCCCUGCCCUUUGUACACACCGCCCGUCGCUCCUACCGAUCGAAUGAUACGGUAAAGCCAACGGAUAAGAUCCUUUUGGGCAACCAAUUGGAUUUUAAAAGUUGUU
rnacentral:rRNA from 1 species